rnacentral:rRNA from 1 species
UUAACUGGGAUUAGAUACCCCACUAUGCCUAGCCAUAAACAUAGAUAAUCACGUACUUUUUUAUCCGCCCGGGUACUACGAGCAUCAGCUUWAAACCCAAAGGACUUGGCGGUGCUUUAGAUCCACCUAGAGGAGCCUGUUCUAGAACCGAUAAUCCCCGUUAAACCUCACCUUUCCUUGCCUAGUCCGCCUAUAUACCGCCGUCGUCAGCUUACUCUGUGAAGAAUUUGUAGUAAGCACAAUCGGCACAGCCCAAAACGUCAGGUCGAGGUGUAGCGUAUGGAAAGGGAAGAAAUGGGCUACAUUCAAUAGCAAUAGUGAACACGAAUAAUGUUUUGAAAGAGACAAUUGAAGGAGGAUUUAGUAGUAAGCAUGGGAAUAGAGCGCCCUGCUGAAACCGGCCCUGAAGCGCGCACACACCGCCCGUCACUCUCCCCAAGCUAACACAAGCUAWUCACUAAUAAGUAAUAACUGUAAAGGGGAGGCAAGUCGUAACAUGGUAAGCGUACCGGAAGGUGCGCUUGGAAGAACUCAGAGCAUAGCUAAACAACGUAUAGCAUCUCCCUUACACUGAGAAGAUAUUCGUGCAACCCGAAUUGCCCUGAAGCCCAAUAGCUAGCCCAACCCCUUAAAACAAMACAMCCCCUAUCUAUAMCCCYUCACGGAUUAGACAACAAAAAACAAACCAUUUUACCCUCUUAGUAUGGGAGACAGAAAAGAGAACCUGGCGCCAUAAAGAAAGUACCGCAAGGGAAAGCUGAAAAAGAAAUGAAAUAAUUCAGUUUAAAGCUUAGAAAAGCAGAGACUAAACCUCGUACCUUUUGCAUAUGG